rnacentral:rRNA from 1 species
UACCAGCACCCCGAGUGGUCGGGACGUUUAUUGGGCCUAAAGCCUCCGUAGCCGGUUCUACAAGUCUUCCGUUAAAUCCACCUGCUUAACAGAUGGGCUGCGGAAGAUACUAUGGAGCUAGGAGGCGGGAGAGGCAAGCGGUACUCGAUGGGUAGGGGUAAAAUCCGUUGAUCCAUUGAAGACCACCAGUGGCGAAGGCGGCUUGCCAGAACGCGCUCGACGGUGAGGGAUGAAAGCUAGGGGAGCAAACCGG